CAGCACGAGAGGAAAGACUUUAAUACUUAGAGGCUUGCAAAGGUAGGAAGGAGUAUGUGGUGAGAAUGGCUUUGAAAGUGUCAGUGAACCCUUACAGAGGGGUCAUAAAUGUCCAAAGAGGCAUCUAAGGACUUGGUCCUCAGUCCCAUGGUACAUUCAGUUCCGACUGGGAAAAAGAAACAGUUUUACUUCCUUCAUCGCUUUGUCUGUUCAGGCAAUUCGUAACUUCUUUUUCUUUUUCUUUUCUUUUUCCCCCUCCCCCCCCUUUUUUUUUCUCUUUUUUUUUUUUUUUUUUUUUUUCUUCUUGUACUUUGAAUAUCUUUUGGGAGUAAAAAUUCCAUUUGGACUAUUCAUUCUCUACCAGCCAUCCAGUGGGCAAGGACUUAUCACUCAGUGAUACCUAGUAGAGGUUUGUGUGCAGGAACACAGUGUGUGUUAUAGAAGAUGGCCCAUUCUUUUGGACUGCUUUAGAACAGUGAAUUCCAGUUGCCAGACCUGCUUGUAUGUGGAAGCACUAAGCAUACAGAAAAGCAUUACAUGGUUCGUGGACCUGGGCUGUCAGCUGGAAGAAAAGGAUUCAUGACGUGGAACCUUGGGACGAAGUUCCUGCUAGAGGCAAACUGCUGAAGUGCUCUGUGUGCCCUCAACUCCAUCAGACAAUUUUUUCCAAGCCUAACCCUGCACAGUCCUUCACUUGACCAUCGUCUUUUGCUUAAUGAUUUGGUCUGUGCUGUGAGACUGGUAUGUGUUUAGCCACAUUCUUCCUGGCUGUAGCAGAAAUGAGGACUCCUUUCUGACCUCCAGAAAUGAUGAACGUAAAAGCUUGAACCUUUGGAAUUUUUUAGGAGCAGUGUGGUCCCUCUGCUUCAGCACCUGUGCCCCCUCUCAAAAGGAGCAGUGCUAACCUACCAGAGUCCACAUACUGUAAAGUUGGGACAUCCAUUGAAUCCAAUGUUCUUGGUUCUGAAGACCCUUGGACCCACCUAGCAUGGCUAUAGACUUUGAGGUCUGGCACUCAUUGGGAUAUCUGUGGACAACAUUCCACUUCACAGGGUAGGCUCGUUGCUUAUUUGAAGCAGGAUGACAGGGCUCUUCUACUGUUUGGAAAGGCAGUGAAGUUGGUGCUCCAGAACAGAGCCACCCAUUCUUCUUCUGAGAGCUAAUUGAUUUGCCUCAGCUACAGACAUGUACUGAGGGUCUCAAAAGUGAAGUCUUCGUUUUUCUUUUUGAACGACUUAUUUCCU
rnacentral:lncRNA from 1 species